CCUACGGGUGGCAGCAGUGAGGAAUAUUGGUCAAUGGCCGGAAGGCUGAACCAGCCAUGCCGCGUGAAGGUCAGUGCCCUAUGGGCGUUAAACUUCUUUUGUGCGGGAGCAAUAAUGGUCACGUGUGGCCAGACGAGAGUACCGUACGAAUAAGCAUCGGCUAACUCCGUGCCAGCAGCCGCGGUAAUACGGGGGAUGCAAGCGUUAUCCGGAUUUAUUGGGUUUAAAGGGUGCGUAGGCUGUGAGGUAAGUCAGCGGUGAAAUGCCCCCGCUCAACGGGGUGAAGUGCCAUUGAUACUGCCUUGCUGGAAUGCGGAUGCCGUGGGAGGAAUGUGUGGUGUAGCGGUGAAAUGCUUAGAUAUGACGAAGAACCCCGAUUGCGAAGGCAGCUUGCUGCAGCGGAACUGACGCUGAUGCUCGAAAGCGCGGGUAUCGAACAGGAUUAGAUACCCGUGUAGUC
rnacentral:rRNA from 1 species